rnacentral:rRNA from 1 species
GUCCAUGCCUUAAACGAUGCAUACUAGGUGUAGAAGGGCUCAACCCCUCUGUACCAAAGCUAACGCAUUAAGUAUGCCGCCUGGGGAGUACGCUCGCAAGGGUGAAACUCAAAAGAAUUGACGGGGCCCGCACAAGCAGUGGAGCAUGUGGUUUAAUUCGACGCAAACGCGAAGAACCUUACCUGGGCUCGAAAAUGUAGAGGACGACAUCAGAGAUGGUGUUUCUCGAAAGGGUCUCUAUAUAGGUGCUGCAUGGCUGUCGU